UUUCAUACAAAAAUAGAAAAGAAACAGUAAAUUUUUAGGGUUCCCCAUACAUAGAACUGAAACUCAAAAAUUUUUUUUUCAUCAAACCCAUACGUGUGGGGUAUCUAUGGAUAGGUCUUCAAAAAUGAUAUUGAGGUUUCUAAUAUCAUUUUCUUCUAAACUGAAUAGUUUGCGCGAGAGACACUUCCAAAGUUGUAAAAUGUGUGUCCCCCCCCUGUAACUUCUAAAAUAAGAGUAUGAUAAAACUAAAAAAAAUAUAUGAUGUACAUUACCAUGCAAACUUCCACCGAAAAUUGGUUUGAACAAGAUUUUGUAAGUAGUUUUUUUUAAUACAACUGAAACCCAAAAAUUUUUUUUUCAUCAAACCCAUACGUGUGGGUUAUCUAUGGAUAGGUCUUCAAAAAUGAUAUUGAGGUUUCUAAUAUCAUUUUCUUCUAAACUGAAUAGUUUGCGCGAGAGACACUUCCAAAGUGGUAAAAUGUGUGUCCCCCCCCCCCCCUGUAACUUCUAAAAUAAGAGAAUGAUAAACCUAAAAAAAAUAUAUGAUGUACAUUACCAUGCAAACUUCCACCGAAAAUUGGUUUGAACAAGAUUUGGUAAGUAGUUCUUUUUUAAUACGUCAUAAACCAAACUCAAAAAUUUUUUUUUCAUCCAGUCCAUACGUGUGGGGUAUCUAUGGAUAGGUCUUCAAAAAUGAUAUUGAGGUUUCUAAUAUCAUUUUU